AUGUCCGUGAACUUGUAUGUGUUGAUAUUUUCCUAUUAUGCAUACAAUCGGAAUUUUAUGAAUAUUUGGUUUUGGAUUUAUAUAUCUAUGCAUUGUGGUUUUCUACCCUCGAGAUAGUCGGUUUUCAAAAAUAGAGUUUUCGAGUGAAAAACAGUUUUAAAAGAUUUUCAAAUGGUUUUUAUGGAUGAUCAAAUAGAGUUUAAAAAUAAAGCUUUCGGGUGGAAAUCACUUUUAAAUAGGAUGACUGUUGUAUUGUGCAUCGUAUCAUCCAACACCUAAGGAGUGUUUAGAGGUAUGCAUUAUCUCUAAGGAUCGCUAGUUGUAUGAAAAUGCAUCACAUAAAUUGCUCGUGGAUUGGUAAAUAUAGGUUGUUGUUGUGAUCCUGUUGUUGUUAUCGUUGGGUACGCCAUGCAAAUACAAAGGAGAUUCUGUCUGUGUAGACAGGAAAAUUUUGUAUUUGUGGCGGGUCUGUACGCCACGUGGGCCAGGUUGAGUUCAAAAAAAAAAAGAAACGUUUUCCACAACUCCGGUUUCUAAAAUAGUAUUCAUUAUAAAAAGACUUUUAAAAUCGGCCCCAGAGCGUGGCAUUAAUGCAGUACCGGUACUCGCAACCCGAUUCCUCAAAACCCGAGAGUUGCUCUUUUUGGCACUCUAUAGGGUUCCGGUAUCCCACUUUGGUACCGGUACUCAACACUAAAAAUUUGCGGUUUGCAGAUUUUAAUGUUGGGAACCUUUUCUCACGCCUAAAACACACCAGAGACAGGUCGACACUCAACUUACAACCCCCAAAAUAUCCAGAAUAGUACAAAAUACAAUUCUCGCACUAGAACCUUGCAAUUUGCUAAAGUUCAGUAUAUUACAGAUUCACAAUACAAUAAUUAUCCUAUUUAAAAGUGCUUCCCAUCCAUAAGCUUUAUUUUUUAAACUCUAAUUAUCCAUUGAUAAAAGACCAUUCGAAAAGCCCUUUGAAUACUGUUUCCCACACGGAAACUCAAUAUUUGAAAACCGACUACCUCGAGGGAUAGAAAAUCAGAUAAUAAAAUUUCAAUGAACGAUAUAAUAAAA
rnacentral:lncRNA from 1 species